UUGUUCCUACGGGGGGCAGCAAUGAGGAAUAUUGGUCAAUGGUCGGGAGACUGAACCAGCCAAGCCGCGUGAGGGAUGAAGGUACAGAGUAUCGUAAACCUCUUUUGUCAGGGAACAAAGGCGGGGACGCGUCCCCGGAUGAGUGUACCUGAAGAAAAAGCAUCGGCUAACUCCGUGCCAGCAGCCGCGGUAAUACGGAGGAUGCGAGCGUUAUCCGGAUUUAUUGGGUUUAAAGGGGGCGCAGGCGGUCUGUUAAGGCAGCGGUGAAAGGCCGGGGGUCAACCCCGG
rnacentral:rRNA from 1 species